CCUAAAGGGCAACUUGAUCCAUCGCCCUCAGAUAGAGACACUAUGCGCAUAAAUCGCGAAGCCGAAGCAUGCACAUGCUUGAUGCUUCUGUUGUUCUGAACUCAUGGUGUGGUCCCCGACUUACCGCUCUCAGACUUGUAAAUUCUAAUUAAGUAAUCACAAGAGAAACCCCAAGUGGGAAAAGGACAACCGGCACCAAAUUUAAUCGCAUCCACACCUAUCUCUCACCAAAUAUAUAUAUUUGGACAGGCAUCUGCAUUCCCCACGAAAGUUGGGAAAAUAAUGGAUUCGAUUUCCCAUGUCACCCUCUGCCCAGCCUUUCAGAUUAAGAAAAUACUCUUAAACAAGCAAACUAGGAAUAUAAUUAACAUAAAACAUAAACUACCUACCUCCCGGGUCCACCAUAAACUACCCAGCUCAUCCAACGCUUCAUAUUACCCACGGAACCCCUCGCCCCAUGAACCAUGCCACACUGUAUCACUACUUCCUUGCUAAAGGGAAAGACAAAAAGGCCUGUCUACAAAAUCAAAAUCACAAGUAUAUUAGAGGCUGAGAGAAAACCUGAUUUUGUUGUUUUACCUUGACAAUAGAAAACGCAAUGUCAAACAGCAAUCUCCAAAUACAAACAGAGGAACCCCCUCCCGCUCAUACGCCUCUACUAACUUCCAAUUCAAAUCAAAACCCUCAAAAUCAAUGUAUUACUAAAAAUAGCAACAAUAAUAAUGAUGGUAAUGAGGAGAGUGAGUUCGAUCGAACGCUGGCGAGUUUGGAAGCGCUUCUCACUUUGCUUGGCUUCAACCAGCGAACCGUUUUCAGCUUUGCCGUCUCAUGGACCGUCUUCGCGGUGGUUGGCACCACGAUGCCGCUGGUGGCGCUGGCUCUUUCCGAGUGCUCUGACGGCCGCAGCCACUGCGAGAAAUACCAGGUUCCGGCAUUCGAGAUGGCGAUCGUGGCGUUCCAGGCGUGCCUUGCUGCCGUCUCACUGCUGUGCCUCUCGCACAACCUGAGGAAGUACGGCGUCAGGAGGUUCCUCUUCGUUGACCGCCACAGCGGACAGUUGCAUUGCUUUCACCGCGAUUACGUCAACCAGAUUCAGGGAUCUUUGCGUUUGCUCAUUAUAUGGAUGUUGCCGUGCUUCUUUGUGAAGACAGCGCGAGAAAUCAUUCGCAUUUCAAAUGUGCAGCAUGAGUCCUGGAUACUCUCAGUUGCUAUUUUCUUUGCUUUGAUUAUAUCUUGGACUUAUGUGAGUGCAGUCUCUUUGUCGGCUACUAUUAUGUUUCACUUGGUCUGCAAUUUGCAAGUUAUCCACUUUGAUGAUUAUGGGAAACUCUUGCAAAGGGAGAGUGACGUUCUAGUUUUCAUGGAGGAGCACAUUCGGUUGCGCUAUCAUCUCUCCAAGAUAAGCCAUAGGUUCAGAAUAUAUCUUCUUCUACAGUUCUUGGUUGUCACAGCAAGCCAAUUUGUCACUCUAUUGCAGGUUACGGGAUACGGUGGCAUGCUCACUUUCUUAAAUGGUGGAGAUUUUGCUGUAUCUACACUUGUUCAAGUUGUUGGCAUCAUUAUUUGUCUGCAUGCGGCAACAAGAAUAUCUCACAGAGCUCAGGGUGUUGUUUCACUAGCAAGCAGGUGGCAUGCACUGUUGACAUGCUCUUCUGAUGCAUCUCAACUAAGAAGCUCUGCCAGUACAGGGAGCUUGGAGGCUGUAAACCAUUUAAACUCGAUACAAUUAGACUAUUCUGAGAGUGAUUUGGAGUCAAUGGAUUAUGCUGGAAUGCCUACGAAUACCCAGUUGGCUUCCUAUAUGUCCUCACACCACAAGAGGCAAGCCUUUGUGAUGUACUUGCAAACUAAUCCUGGAGGAAUCACUAUAUUUGGAUGGACAGUUGAUCGGUCCCUUGUCAACACAAUUUUUUUCCUUGAAUUAAGUCUAGUUACCUUUGUUCUCAGCAAGACAAUAAUUUAAGGAGGAAAAGAAGAUUGCAAGCAGACACCAAGAACAAGAAGAAACCUUCUAAAUUUAGUUCUUCUGGCUUAGCGUUAUCAUUUUGCUGGAAAAUGGCCACAAAUAGCCAUAACUUUUUCUGGCGACUGAUGUUAAUAACUUUGCUCAAGCCAUGCCAGCACGUAACACGGACACGGCAGCGAACCAUGCAUGAAGGUAGAAAGGUAGGGACCAAGUUAUAUCUGUCAAUCUAUGGAACUGAGCUCUGUGACGUUUCUGUUCAAGGUGCUUUGCUUCUACCCAACUUUGAAGAUUGAUGGGGGGUUUCAUCUAACGACUUGAGCUCCAAUUCUCCAGAGCAGCAGUAUUAAUAUUGUCCUAAUACGUAAUCAAAGUUGCAUAUCUAUCAUAAAACUGGAAUAAUUUGAGAAACUGAUCAUGCCUACUUUUGUGUUGAAGAUUUCAGUCUCAGAAGAACAGGCAUGUUUAAGAGCGUGCGUGCAGUUGAGUUCGAAAGAAGUAGAAUGCAUCUAAUUAAG